rnacentral:tRNA from 2 species
GGGGAAGUGUCGGAAUUGGUAGACGAGCCAGAUUUAGGAUCUGGUGCCGAGAGGCGUGUGGGUUCGAGUCCCUCCUUCCCCACCA